rnacentral:rRNA from 1 species
GAUGAACGCUGGCGGCGUGCCUAAUACAUGCAAGUCGAGCGAACAGACGAGGAGCUUGCUCCUCUGACGUUAGCGGCGGACGGGUGAGUAACACGUGGAUAACCUACCUAUAAGACUGGGAUAACUUCGGGAAACCGGAGCUAAUACCGGAUAAUAUAUUGAACCGCAUGGUUCAAUAGUGAAAGACGGUUUUGCUGUCACUUAUAGAUGGAUCCGCGCCGCAUUAGCUAGUUGGUAAGGUAACGUCUUACCAAGGCAACGAUGCGUAGCCGACCUGAGAGGGUGAUCGGCCACACUGGAACUGAGACACGGUCCAGACUCCUACGGGAGGCAGCAGUAGGGAAUCUUCCGCAAAGGGCGAAAGCUUGACGGAGCAACGCCGCGUGAGUGAUGAAGGUCUUCGGAUCGUAAAACUCUGUUAUUAGGGAAGAACAAAUGUGUAAGUAACUAUGCACGUCUUGACGGUACCUAAUCAGAAAGCCACGGCUAACUACGUG